UUUUCUCCCUCAGAAGAACUUGCAGCAGCAUUUGGAUUUAUAAAAUUUUCAAUAAGUGGCUUAAACUGAGAUGGCUUUGGAAAGUUAAAACCACACCAAAACUUAAAUCUUUUUUUUCUUUGUCUGGAUAAAGAAAGGGGGUUACAUGUAUACUUCAGUUGCACAAGCUAUGUGGAGAGUAGCCCAAUUACCACAUCAAUCACUCAAUGAUCCUAAUCUCAGUUUCGAAGCCAACAAUAUAGACUGCUAACCUAAAUGAAGAGAGAGAGAGAGAGAGAGAAGCCUAAUUAAGUGUUUUACAAGAGUAUUUAUCGCAGAUCAUAAGAAGGGUUCGCAAUCGCUGCAUCGUCUCCGCCUUUGAUUUGAUAUUUCUCUUCCGUUUGCUGCACUUUCGAUCCACUGUUGAUAUUGCGAGAGACAUCGAAGUUAGAUCAAAUGGGUUCUUCUUCUUCUUCUUCGUCGGGACAUUCUCGAUAGCCUCUUUGAGCAAAGUUAGAUCGAAAGAUGGUGAAUCGCCACCAUCGUUGAUCUCAAUCCCUUCUUUUUCGGUUUUCUGCUUUGACUUUGCCAUUACCCUCACGCAGAGAAUCAACUUGCUAGCUUUUUAACAACUUUUAUAGAGAAACACGCCAUCUGUUGUUCUAUUGGGCCACCUUUAGUCAAGUAACAUUGGGCUAACAACAUAGUAAAGCAUUUAUGUCUUUUUGGGAAAUUGGUAUGUUUGACCAAAAAAAAAGAAAGGGAAAUUGAUAUGUGUGACCAUGAAAAAAAUGUAAUUCAUUAGAUAACCAAAUGCCCUAAAUUUUCGAAACACCCAUUCCACUUUAUGUAAUAAUGCUAUUUUGCCUUCAAUGCCAACCGGUGAAACCUGAAAAAAAAUAAAAAUAAAAAAUCCUAGUUAUUAGAUAUUUCAAAUUACUCGUGGCGUAAUUAUAUUCACAUCUUUCCUUUUAUCUUUAUUUGGUAAAUUUUGAGAAAUUGAUCCACGGUUUUCUCCAUCUCUUCGAACCAC
rnacentral:lncRNA from 1 species